rnacentral:rRNA from 1 species
UACGUAGGGUGCGAGCGUUAAUCGGGAUUACUGGGCGUAAAGCGUGCGCAGGCGGUUCGUUAUGUCCGAUGUGAAAGCCCCGAGCUCAACUUGGGAAUGGCAUUGGAAACUGGCGGGCUGGAGUGUGGCAGAGGGGGGUGGAAUUCCACGUGUAGCAGUGAAAUGCGUAGAGAUGUGGAGGAACACCGAUGGCGAAGGCAGCCCCCUGGGCCAACACUGACGCUCAGGCACGAAAGCGUGGGGAGCAAACAGG